rnacentral:rRNA from 1 species
UACGUAGGGUGCGAGCGUUAAUCGGAAUUACUGGGCGUAAAGCGUGCGCAGGCGGUUGUGUAAGACAGAUGUGAAAUCCCCGGGCUCAACCUGGGAACUGCAUUUGUGACUGCACAGCUGGAGUGCGGCAGAGGGGGAUGGAAUUCCGCGUGUAGCAGUGAAAUGCGUAGAUAUGCGGAGGAACACCGAUGGCGAAGGCAAUCCCCUGGACCUGUACUGACGCUCAUGCACGAAAGCGUGGGGAGCAAACAGG